rnacentral:lncRNA from 1 species
AUUAAAAACCAAUUGUUCAGAGAACAAUUGAAGGUCUUUCCACCAGUAAAGAUCUAUUUUGAUAUUAAAAUAUUAAAAAUCAGUCUAAUAAUGUCAGUUCCUAUGGAUAUAUGAUGUAUAAAUAUGAAUUUAAAGCAAAGGUCAAAAUCUAGAACGUGCUAUUAACCAAUGACCUUGACCUCAAUUUCAAGGACACAAACCAAGGACCUUAAAUCAAAAGACGCGAGGUCUUUAAUAUGUAUGGUAAAUGAGUUAAAUCACUUUAAACAUAACUCUAAAUAUAAGAUGGGCAAAAACUUCCAUUUAUUGUUUACGUAACCUUUCAGCCAAAAUUUAUAAGUAACGACAUGUCGCAACUAACAAUUUAGUCAAAAUAUUAUUUUAUUUUUUUAGUUGAAAUCUUAUAUAUGUAUUUUGAAAAUAAAUGAAAUUAAGCCAAAAUCCAAAUUUAUGAUAUGACCUUGACCUUAUUUUCAUUUUUUUUUGGACCAAGGACCUUAAAUCAAAAGACCCUAGGUCUCUAUCACUUAUGGUUUACCAGUUAGAAAUGCAUAUUACUAAUAUCAAAUGCAUAAGGGGAAAUAACUCUCAUAUGGAGUGUUUAUAUCGCUUCAGUUAAAAUAGGACAAAUCAUGAAAGGAUAUAACGAGUAAUUUUAUAAAAUAAAUUUGUCAUAAUCUUUUACGGUUGCGAAGGAGUAGUGGACACAAGGAAAACAGUGUUUGAGGAGAUAACUCUUACAAAGAAAAUUGUUCAUCUUAGCAGGGUGAAAUUUAAAAGCGUAUAAACUAUAUGAUACAAUUUUUAAAAUAUCUAAGCGACAUAUUGCGAAACAAAAAUUUCAGAAUGUGGCGGGAAAAAAAAUAAUAAUCAGAAGAAAUACAAUAGGUCUUUCCACAGAAAAGUGGAAAGACCUAAUUAUCCAGACUCUUAUGAUAAAAAGAAUCUAUC